rnacentral:rRNA from 1 species
AUUGAACGCUGGCGGCAUGCCUUACACAUGCAAGUCGAACGGUAACGGGCCUUCGGGUGCCGACGAGUGGCGAACGGGUGAGUAAUGCAUCGGAACGUACCUUUCAGUGGGGGAUAACGUAGCGAAAGUUACGCUAAUACCGCAUAUUCUGUGAGCAGGAAAGCAGGGGAUCGCAAGACCUUGCGCUGAUUGAGCGGCCGAUGUCAGAUUAGCUAGUUGGUGAGGUAAAGGCUCACCAAGGCGACGAUCUGUAGCGGGUCUGAGAGGAUGAUCCGCCACACUGGAACUGAGACACGGUCCAGACUCCUACGGGAGGCAGCAGUGGGGAAUUUUGGACAAUGGGGGCAACCCUGAUCCAGCCAUGCCGCGUGAGUGAAGAAGGCCUUCGGGUUGUAAAGCUCUUUCGGUCGGGAAGAAAUCGCAUGGGUUAAUACCCUGUGCGGAUGACGGUGCCGGCAUAAGAAGCACCGGCUGACUACGUGCCAGCCGCCGCGGUAAGAC